UUUUAUUUGAGAGUUUGAUCCUGGCUCAGGAUGAACGCUGGCGGCGUGCCUAACACAUGCAAGUUGAGCGAUUUACUUCGGUAAAGAGCGGCGGACGGGUGAGUAACGCGUGGGUAACCUACCCUGUACACACGGAUAACAUACCGAAAGGUAUGCUAAUACGGGAUAAUAUAUUUGAGAGGCAUCUCUUGAAUAUCAAAGGUGAGCCAGUACAGGAUGGACCCGCGUCUGAUUAGCUAGUUGGUAAGGUAACGGCUUACCAAGGCGACGAUCAGUAGCCGACCUGAGAGGGUGAUCGGCCACAUUGGAACUGAGACA
rnacentral:rRNA from 1 species